rnacentral:tRNA from 1 species
GGUGCCAUAGCUCAGUUGGUAGAGCAAAGGACUGAAAAUCCUUGUGUCGCUGGUUCGAGCCCAGCUGGCACCA